rnacentral:rRNA from 1 species
GGUGCCUUUCGGGAAAUGUAAGACAGGUGCNGCAUGGCNGUCGUCAGCUCGUGUUGUGAAAUGUUGGGUUAAGUCCCGCAACGAGCGCAACCCUUAUCCUUGUUUGCCAGCACUUCGGGUGGGAACUCCAGGGAGACUGCCGGUGAUAAACCGGAGGAAGGUGGGGACGACGUCAAGUCAUCAUGGCCCUUACGAGUAGGGCUACACACGUGCUACAAUGGCGCAUACAGAGGGCGGCCAACUUGCGAAAGUGAGCGAAUCCCAAAAAGUGCGUCGUAGUCCGGAUUGGAGUCUGCAACUCGACUCCAUGAAGUCGGAAUCGCUAGUAAUCGUGGAUCAGAAUGCCACGGUGAAUACGUUCCCGGGCCUUGUACACACCGCCCGUCACACCAUGGGAGUGGGCUGCAAAAGAAGUGGGUAGUUUAACCUUCGGGAGGACGCUCACCACUUUGUGGUUCAUGACUGGGGUGAAGUCGUAACAAGGUAACCG